rnacentral:ribozyme from 1 species
CGCAGCAAAGUUACGAAAUGCUGAUGGCUUUUUUGGUAAAUCUGAUCCUUAUGCCAAAC